rnacentral:misc_RNA from 1 species
AUCUAUUGUCUUAUCGCCUGGGUUUAUUCCGAGGCCCGAUCUCAUAACUUGUUUAUUUGACCUAUUCUUGUUUUUAAUUUAUUCGACCUUUUGUUACACCUAUCUUUCUUUAUCAUUUUUUUUUAUUUGUUCAGACCAAAACUCUCAUGUUAAAAUACCCCUGCCUAUAUUCUUUAGAGUAUUUACAAGUCGCCUAUAACUUGAAUGUCUACUCUCGAAGGGAAUGAAAACUAUAGUAACCAUAAAUAGAAUUGGCGAAUGAAUAGAAAAAGAAGACACAGGAAAUAACUUUGGGCCUAGAUAACCUAUUCUGAGACUUAAUGUAACUAGAUAUAAAAGAAACUUUAGAAGAAAACUGGAGAAAACAAACCAAGGGUAUUCAACAAAAUGACAGUUUAGACGCUUACUUGUGAAAAGUUGAGGAGACAGGUGAGCUGACUUCGGUAUCCACAAUUCUUGCAGAGGUGAAAGCUGACGGCUGAAGGACUUGAGCUUACUCGGGGUAAUGAGAACAGAUCGGGUCGAAGUUGAGUUCGGAAAGUAAUGCACAAAUACUAGAACGGUGGGAAUGAGGCGGAGUGAAGAUGGUUUCAGAGGGUGGUGCACAGGAACUGAAAAUGAAAAUCUCAGGACUUAGAGCUCCUUUUGAUGAAAUACUUAAGAAAACUAGUUUCUAAAGUUUCUCAACACUUCGAAAGCUCAAAAUGACAAAUAGCAAGACUAAAUCAAAGUUCAGAGUUUUUUCACUAUAAUCACCCCCUUCUUUUUACCUCCCUUCUACAGUGUUGCAUGCAAGUAUUUAUAGGGAACGGGUGCCCAAAAUGAAGGGUCAGAAUCUCACCAGGGGAGACGGAGGGCUUAGAUUCAAAAAAGACAUAAUCUGAUGUCUGGGAAUUAAAGAGAAUCAAAAUGGAG